AAAAGCUGCGGGGUCGGGUCGUUUUGAAGCAGUUUCACAGGCAUCUAGGCGUCCGCUGAACUUCGGACCGGCUGUGAAAAUGGACAAGAGCAAAUUUCUUGCACUCGCCCGGAAAUUCAAUUGUGUUUUAUUUGAAGAUAAUGGGCUGCGCUCCGGCACGCUGCCGCUGGUGGUGGCUGGCCACACAGUGGGCCUGGUGCGUGCCGAGCUGCUGCCGCUGGUCGGCGCUGCAUCCA